rnacentral:tRNA from 4 species
GGGGAUGUAGCUCAGCGGGAGAGCGCCUGCUUUGCAAGCAGGAGGUCGUGGGUUCAACUCCCACCAUCUCCA